GAUGAAGAACGCAGCGAAAUGCGAUAAGUAGUGUGAAUUGCAGACUUUAGUGAAUCAUCGAAUCUUUUAACGCACAUUGCGCCCCUUGGUAUUCCAUUGGGCAUGCCUGUUCGAGCGUCAUUUACACCCUCAAGCCUAGCUUGGUGUUGGGCGUUGUCCGCAAGGACUCGCCUCAAAUUCAUUGGCAGCGGCAUCGUCAGCUUCUCGCGCAGCACAUUGCGCUUCAGAAGGCUUCUGGCGGGCUCGCGUCCACUAAGAUACCACCCAGUUUGACCUCGAAUCAGGUAGGGAUACCCGCUGAACUUAAGCAUAUCAAUAAGCGGAGGA
rnacentral:misc_RNA from 1 species